CCUACGGGAGGCAGCAGUGAGGAAUAUUGGUCAAUGGGCGCGAGCCUGAACCAGCCAAGUAGCGUGAAGGAUGACUGCCCUACGGGUUGUAAACUUCUUUUAUAAAGGAAUAAAGUGAGGCACGUGUGCCUUUUUGUAUGUACCUUAUGACUAAGGCUCGGCUAACCCCGUUCCAGCAGCCGCUGUUAUACGGAGGAUGCGAGCGUUUUCCGGAGUUAUUGGGGUUAAAGGGUGCGUAGGCGGACUGUUAAGUCAGCGGUAAAAGCGCGGGGCUCAACCCCGGCGAGCCGUUGAAACUGGCGGUCUUGAGAUGUCGAGAGGUAUGCGGAAUGCGCAGUGUAGCGGUGAAAUGCUUAGAUAUUGCGCAGAACUCCGAUUGCGAAGGCAGCAUACCGGCGGCGAUCUGACGCUGAGGCACGAAAGCGUGGGUAUCGAACAGGAUUAGAUACCCCUGUAGUC
rnacentral:rRNA from 1 species